GUGGGGAAUAUUGCACAAUGGGCGCAAGCCUGAUGCAGCAACGCCGCGUGAGGGACGACGGCCUUCGGGUUGUAAACCUCUUUUAGCAGGGAAGAAGCGAAAGUGAUGGUACCUGCAGAAAAAGCACCGGCUAACUACGUGCCAGCAGCCGCGGUAAUACGUAGGGUGCAAGCGUUGUCCGGAAUUAUUGGGCGUAAAGAGCUCGUAGGCGGUUUGUCGCGUCUGCUGUGAAAACCCGAGGCUCAACCUCGGGCCUGCAGUGGGUACGGGCAGACUAGAGUGCGGUAGGGGAGAUUGGAAUUCCUGGUGUAGCGGUGGAAUGCGCAGAUAUCAGGAGGAACACCGAUGGCGAAGGCAGAUCUCUGGGCCGUAACUGACGCUGAGGAGCGAAAGCGUGGGGAGCGAACAGGAUUAGAAACCCCGGUAGUCC
rnacentral:rRNA from 1 species